UACGUAGGUGACAAGCGUUGUCCGGAUUUACUGGGCGUAAAGAGCGCGCAGGCGGUCGAUCAAGUCGAGUGUGAAAGCCCCCGGCUCAACUGGGGAGGGUCAUUCGAUACUGAUCGACUCGAAGGCAGGAGAGGGUAGUGGAAUUCCCGGUGUAGUGGUGAAAUGCGUAGAUAUCGGGAGGAACACCGGUGGCGAAGGCGGGUCUCUGGGCCGGAACUGACGCUGAGGAGCGAAAGCGUGGGGAGCGAACAGG
rnacentral:rRNA from 1 species